rnacentral:rRNA from 1 species
UACGUAGGGCGCAAGCGUUGUCCGGAAUUAUUGGGCGUAAAGAGCUCGUAGGCGGUCUGUCGCGUCUGCUGUGAAAACUCGGGGCUUAACCCCGGGCCUGCAGUGGGUACGGGCAGACUAGAGUGCGGUAGGGGAGACUGGAAUUCCUGGUGUAGCGGUGAAAUGCGCAGAUAUCAGGAGGAACCCCGGUGGCGAAGGCGGGUCUCUGGGCCGUAACUGACGCUGAGGAGCGAAAGCGUGGGGAGCGAAAAGG